rnacentral:rRNA from 1 species
UACGUAGGGUGCAAGCGUUAAUCGGAAUUACUGGGCGUAAAGCGUGCGCAGGCGGUGAUGUAAGACAGAUGUGAAAUCCCAGGGCUCAACCUUGGAACUGCAUUUUGUGACUGCAUCGCUGGAGUGCGGCAGAGGGGGGAUGGAAUUCCGCGUGUAGCAGUGAAAAUGCGUAGAUAUGCGGAGGAAUACCGAUGGCGAAGGCAGCCUCCUGGGCCAACACUGACGC